rnacentral:rRNA from 1 species
AUUGAACGCUGGCGGCAUGCUUUACACAUGCAAGUCGAACGGCAGCGCGGGGCAACCUGGCGGCGAGUGGCGAACGGGUGAGUAAUCUAUCGGAACGUACCCAAGAGUGGGGGAUAACGUAGCGAAAGUUACGCUAAUCCCGCAUACGACCUUAGGAUGAAAGCGGGGUACCGGAAGGCCUUGUGCUCCUGGAGCGGCCGAUAUCUGAUUAGCGAGUUGGUGCGGUAAAGGCUCACCAAGGCGACGAUCAGUAGCUGGUCUGAGAGGACGACCAGCCACACUGGGACUGAGACACGGCGCAGACGCCUGCGGGAGGCAGCAGUGGGGAAUUUUGGACAAUGGGCGCAAGCCUGAUCCAGCAAUGCCGCGUGAGUGAAGAAGGCCUUCGGGUUGUAAAGCUCUUUUGUCAGGGAAGAAACGGCUGAGGAUAAUACCUUCGGCUAAUGACGGUACCUGAAGAAUAAGCACCGGCUAACUACGUGCCAGCCGCCGCAGUAA